AGUCGAGAAUUUUUCUCAAUGGGCGAAAGCCUGAAGGAGCGACGCCGCGUGGGGGAUGAAUGGCUUCGGCCCGUAAACCCCUGUCAUUUGCGAUCAAACCUUACGACCUAACACGCCGUGAGCUGAUAGUAGCGGAAGAGGAAGGGACGGCUAACUCUGUGCCAGCAGCCGCGGUAAUACAGAGGUCCCAAGCGUUGUUCGGAUUCACUGGGCGUAAAGGGUGCGUAGGCGGUCGGGUAAGUCUGACGUGAAAUCUUCAAGCUCAACUUGGAAACUGCGUCGGAUACUAUUCGGCUAGAGGAAUGGAGGGGAGACUGGAAUACUUGGUGUAGCAGUGAAAUGCGUAGAUAUCAAGUGGAACACCAGUGGCGAAGGCGAGUCUCUGGACAUUUCCUGACGCUGAGGCACGAAAGCCAGGGGAGCAAACGGGAUUAGAUACCCCGGUAGUCCUGGCCCUAAACGGUGCGCAUUUGCUGUAAGAGGAAUCGACCCCUUUUGUGGCGAAGCUAACGCGUUAAAUGCGCCGCCUGGGAAGUACGGCCGCAAGGUUAAAACUCA
rnacentral:rRNA from 1 species